CCUACGGGGGACAGCAGUGAGGAAUAUUGGUCAAUGGACGAAAGUCUGAACCAGCAAAGUAGCGUGAAGGAUGACUGCCCUAUGGGUUGUAAACUUCUUUUAUAUGGGAAUAAAAUGUUCCACGUGUGGGAUUUGGUAUGUAUCAUAUGAAUAAGGAUCGGCUAACUCCGUGCCAGCAGCCGCAGUAAUACGGAGGAUUCGAGCGUUAUCCGGAUUUAUUGGGUUUAAAGGGAGCGUAGGUGGAUUGUUAAGUCAGUUGUGAAAGUUUGCGGCUCAACCGUAAAAUUGCAGUUGAAACUGGUAGUCUAGAGUACAGGAGAGGUGGGCGGAAUUCGUGGUGUAGCGGUGAAAUGCUUAGAGAUCACGAAGAACACCGAUUGCGAAGGCAGCUUACUGGACUGCAACUGACGCUGAGGCUCGAAAGUGUGGGUAGCAAACAGGAUUAGAUACCCCUGUAGUC
rnacentral:rRNA from 1 species